UAGGGAAUCUUCGGCAAUGGGGGGAACCCUGACCGAGCAACGCCGCGUGAGUGAAGAAGGUUUUCGGAUCGUAAAGCUCUGUUGUUAAGGAAGAACGAGUGUGAGAAUGGAAAGUUCAUGCUGUGACGGUACUUAACCAGAAAGGGACGGCUAACUACGUGCCAGCAGCCGCGGUAAUACGUAGGUCCCGAGCGUUGUCCGGAUUUAUUGGGCGUAAAGCGAGCGCAGGCGGUUAGAAAAGUCUGAAGUGAAAGGCAGCGGCUCAACCGGGGAGUGUCAUUGGAAACUGGUUGACUUGAGUGCAGAAGAGGAGAGUGGAAUUCCAUGUGUAGCGGUGAAAUGCGUAGCUAUAUGGAGGAACACCAGUGGCGAAGGCAACUCUCUGGUCUGUAACUGACGCUGAGGCUCGAAAGCGUGGGUAGCAAACAGG
rnacentral:rRNA from 1 species